rnacentral:tRNA from 1 species
GGGUUGUGGCUCAGCAGUAUAGCACUUGCCUAGCACGUGCAAGGCCCUGGGUUCGAUCCUCAGCCCCA